rnacentral:lncRNA from 1 species
AUUAGUCUUCUGAUCUCCUUACUAAUCACCUGGGAGAAGUCCCACCCCGGCUACCCCCUCUGGCUCUUGGCCCUGCCUUAGUGCUUGGAAGGUUUCUAGAACCUCAAUAAAUUUCCUGAAUUUUCUUGCCCUUUCACCCCACUUAUUACUCACUCCGUCAGUCCUUUUACCAAAUACCUUGGCUUAAAGACACAGCUGCCAGAACAGGAAUUACAGCACAAACUGCGUGAGCUACAUGAAUCCGGAGCUGCAGUACAAGCUGGACCACUAGACUUCUCACUUCACGACCUGAACCCAGGAGACAAAGUUUAUAUUAAGAACUUCCAGCGUACAGGAGCAACCCAGCCUUCCUGGGAAGGACCAUUCCAAAUAUUGUUAACUACUCCAACAUCUAUAAAGGUUGGAGAAAAGGACUCUUGGAUUCACUGUUCUCAUGUAAAGAGAGCAUCUUCUGUUGAGACUGAUUGACUGUAUACUAUACAUACAUUGGAGAUAACUACCCAUUGACAAGUGGAACUGUUUUAUUCUGCUUUUGACACAUUGAAUUCCUAAAUUUAAUUUUUCCUUUUUUCUCUUUUCCUUAUUUUAUUAUUAUUAUUAUUUUUACAUUAUUUUAUUUUUUCCCUUUUUCUCAUUUCUAUGUACUUAAGGUACAUAUGAUCAAUAUUAAAAUUUUAUUCUACAAUAUUAGUUUAAAUAUAUAUACUUGUUGUUAUUAUUAAUACGCACCCAAAUAGCUUUAGACUAUGGGAACCUGCCAUUUAUUGAUAAUUGUUGUGGGACUAUGAUUAAUGUUUGUGUCUGAUUCUAGACAUGAGAUCAAACAAGGAGCACAGAGAUAACCUGGAUAAUGCCAAAAGAGCUCACAGGUCUAAAAAUCAAAGACCAAUCCAGGAAGGAUUAAUGCAUUUCUAAGCCAAUACUAAGGACUUGAACCUAGUGUGAGACUCGGGGUUGCGACACUUGACAGACGUUAAGAUGUAGGCCUUCCCUGUAUCCACACUCUUCGUGAAAAUACCUACAGACAAGUACCUAAGGUUGGCUACCAUCCUGGCUCCAUCCAUCCCUGAGAACGAAGGUAAAAUCAGACGAGGGAAUAACACUUCCCUAGAUAUAAAAUAAAAAUCUGGUCCUCUUUUUUCUCUCCUAUAGU